ACAACAUUCGGACCAACGGUCUACCGAGCAAUAUCUAGCACCCACUGUGGAAGAUCUUCCCUUUAUCGU
rnacentral:pre_miRNA from 1 species